UUCGCGCUGGUCAAGAGCAUGGCUGGCCAGCGUUCUGCACUCCUCUCCGGAGCCGGGAGCGCAAGUUCGAAUCUUGCAGGGGACACCA
rnacentral:tRNA from 1 species